rnacentral:rRNA from 1 species
CGAACGGGUGAGUACACGUGGGCAAUCUGCCCUGCACUCUCGGACAAGUCCUGGAAACGGGGUCUAAUACCGGAUACUGACCCGCUUGGGCAUCCAAGCGGUUCGAAAGCUCCGGCGGUGCAGGAUGAGCCCGCGGCCUAUCAGCUUGUUGGUGAGGUAAUGGCUCACCAAGGCGACGACGGGUAGCCGGCCUGAGAGGGCGACCGGCCACACUGGGACUGAGACACGGCCCAGACUCCUACGGGAGGCAGCAGUGGGGAAUAUUGCACAAUGGGCGAAAGCCUGAUGCAGCGACGCCGCGUGAGGGAUGACGGCCUUCGGGUUGUAAACCUCUUUCAGCAGGGAAGAAGCGAAAGUGACGGUACCUGCAGAAGAAGCGCCGGCUAACUACGUGCCAGCAGCCGCGGUAAUACGUAGGGCGCGAGCGUUGUCCGGAAUUAUUGGGCGUAAAGAGCUCGUAGGCGGCUUGUCACGUCGGUUGUGAAAGCCCGGCGCUUAACCCCGGGUCUGCAGUCGAUACGGGCAGGCUAGAGUUCGGUAGGGGAGAUCGGAAUUCCUGGUGU